rnacentral:tRNA from 1 species
GCUGGGGCUGGGGCUCAGUGGUAAAGUACUUGCCUCGCAUGUGUGAGGCACUGGGUUCGAACCUCAGCACCACAUCA